UUUUAACUAACUUUUUAAUUUGCCCCAAAGUCAUCCCAUCUUGUAUUAUAUAGACUUAUAUGCAUGCUUCAAUCAGAGCACACAAGACAUCAUUAACUUCUUGAGUUACUGAGAGAAAAUCAGAGAGAACAAUUCUUCAUUUUUACUCAAGAAUGGCAGCUCAAAUGGGUAGCUUCAUGGCCAAGACCUUGAUCCUAAUGCCCAAUUUCAAACCCUAUCAGCUCAGAAAUAUUAUUAUAUGUGCCAAGGGGUCAGAGAACACAAUAAAAAAGAAUAAGAGGCCGGGUAUAAAAACGGAUCCACCACAAAACAAUGGUAUUGGCAAAGGAAAUAGUCUCACCAACUCGGUUGCUGAAGGAGGAGAUAAUAUUGGCAAAACUAAUGCAGAUGAUGUAAACGCCAUGAAAAGCGAAUAUGCAAAUAACUAAUAACUUUGUUAGCUAGUGAUGAUUGUAGCUAUAUUAAUGCAUGGCCAUUGUUAGCUUGGAAUAAGCUGCUUAGUUGGUGUUGCUUAGUUAGAUUUCUCUUCAAUCAGUUAUUGUAUCUCUAAUGGUAUGCUAAAUUUGUGUUAUAAAAUAUGUUAUGUAAUAAAAAGUACGAAAAGUGAGACUUAUCAAGUGUUUUUAAA